GGCGAACGGGUGAGGAACACGUGAGAAAUCUGCCUUCAACUCUGGGAUAACUCCGUGAAAACGGGGCUAAUACCGGAUAUGAAACCUGCGGGCAUCCGCGGGUUUGGAAAGUUUUUCGGUUGAAGAUGAUCUCGCGGCCUAUCAGCUUGUUGGUGAGGUAAUGGCUCACCAAGGCGACGACGGGUAGCCGGCCUGAGAGGGCGACCGGCCACACUGGGACUGAGACACGGCCCAGACUCCUACGGGAGGCAGCAGUGGGGAAUAUUGGGCAAUGGAGGAAACUCUGACCCAGCGACGCCGCGUGCGGGAUGAAGGCCUUCGGGUUGUAAACCGCUUUCAGCAGGGAAGAAGCGAAAGUGACGGUACCUGCAGAAGAAGCACCGGCUAACUAUGUGCCAGCAGCCGCGGUAAUACAUAGGGUGCAAGCGUUGUCCGGAAUUAUUGGGCGUAAAGAGCUCGUAGGUGGUUCGUCACGUCGGAUGUGAAACUCUGGGGCUUAACCCCAGACCUGCAUUCGAUACGGGCGAGCUUGAGUAUGGUAGGGGAGUCUGGAAUUCCUGGUGUAGCGGUGGAAUGCGCAGAUAUCAGGAGGAACACCAAUGGCGAAGGCAGGACUCUGGGCCAUUACUGACACUGAGGAGCGAAAGCGUGGGGAGCGAACAGGAUU
rnacentral:rRNA from 1 species